rnacentral:lncRNA from 1 species
GCCUGGUCGCCUCUCCUAGACUAGAUCGAAGGCUUCCCCGCCGCUCCUGGUGGUAACAUCUUGUUGGUUCUAAAUACAGUUGAUAAUAAGUACCGGUUUGUGGAAGAAAAGAUAAGAAAAUGGCAGUGGAGUGUCACAUGCCCCACCUUCCUUCCGUGCGUGGAACAGUGAACGUGGUCUUGCUGAUGUCUGUCUUGCUGCUGCCCCUGCUUUUGAUCAAGCACAUGACCAAGGCAUUGUUCUUACUGAGCACACACAGACUUUUCUGCUCUUACCAAAGCAAUGGCUUCAUCAGGAAAAAAAAAAGACUUAAUAUUUUCCCCCUGUCAUUUCUCACCAUGUGUUAAGUAACUUUGUCUUUGGAUUGGGUUAAAAUGUCUGGUGUUGGUUGGGGUUACUAACUUGAGUUUCACUUUAAAAUUUGAUGAAUACAUCUUGGCUUUGAUUUAUUAAAUAGGCCUAUACAC